rnacentral:rRNA from 1 species
GACGAACGCUGGCGGCGUGCCUAAUACAUGCAAGUAGAACGCUGAAGAGAGGAGCUUGCUCUUCUUGGAUGAGUUGCGAACGGGUGAGUAACGCGUAGGUAACCUGCCUUGUAGCGGGGGAUAACUAUUGGAAACGAUAGCUAAUACCGCAUAACAAUGGAUGACACAUGUCAUUUAUUUGAAAGGGGCAAUUGCUCCACUACAAGAUGGACCUGCGUUGUAUUAGCUAGUAGGUGAGGUAAUGGCUCACCUAGGCGACGAUACAUAGCCGACCUGAGAGGGUGAUCGGCCACACUGGGACUGAGACACGGCCCAGACUCCUACGGGAGGCAGCAGUAGGGAAUCUUCGGCAAUGGGGGCAACCCUGACCGAGCAACGCCGCGUGAGUGAAGAAGGUUUUCGGAUCGUAAAGCUCUGUUGUAAGUCAAGAACAGGUGUGAGAGUGGAAAGUUCACACUGUGACGGUAGCUUACCAGAAAGGGACGGCUAACUACGUG